rnacentral:lncRNA from 1 species
UCAUUUCCAGCUUUAAGGGGCAAAAAGGUCAAAAUUUACACAUUGGCGCUACAACACCAAUGCCAGGCUUUAGCCUGGCGCUGCUAAAAUGUAAGUACUCCAUUAAUCAAAUUUCAAUUUUAUUUUCUUGGCAAAAAAAUGGAGGUUUAAAAAUCAAAAACACCACCACUUAUCUGAAAUUUGUGAAAUCAUAUUUUGUUUCUUCAAAUUGGAAUCACCCAAAUGGGUUUUGUUUUCAUCGCCAGAAACAUCAGAAAUCGAGCAUUUUGGUAGUUGAGCCUUUCGAAUAGGCCAACCUAAUGGAGCCGACGAAAACCGCUAGAGAGAGAGAACUGUAGGGUCUCCUUGCAAAAAAAUAUGGCACCUCUGAUUAAUGAAACGAUUUUGGCACCAGAGAAUCUGUUGGUGAGGCAAAUCAUGAAGUAACCAAGAGCUUCAAAGGAGGAGGUGAAUCAAUAGAGAAGGCAGAAACCCUAGAAGGAGAAGGAGAGUUGGCCAUGAGAGAGAACGCAAAGAGGGGUUUAUGAAAGUUGUUGAAUAUAGGCACCUCUAAUUUAGCCCUCCUCACUGUGCAGGAUUUUUUUUGACUAGACGUGAAUUUUUUUUCUGUGAGUUUAAAAUGAG